CCCACAGGUCCACAAAAACCAGGUUAUAAAUUCAGAGUUUCAGUGAAACAAAAGGAUAUUCUAUUCCUAUUACCCUAGCAGGAAAAAGAUAGUGAGAGAAGAGCUAACAGAGUUCAGAGCAACCUCCAGAGACUGAAGGGAACUCAUCGGCAAAGAACCAAUUCCCUCUCAUAUAAAUCCUCAGAUUGCUUUGCAAACCCAACCGGGCAAUUCA
rnacentral:lncRNA from 1 species